rnacentral:misc_RNA from 1 species
UAAAAUGUAUCAUGAUUAAACUUGUUUACUUCCUGGAUUUAAAUAAAUUUCAUUUUUUAAAUUCAGAUCUGAAAUGUAUAUUGACUUCCUGACUGUUUCAUUAAAGUGAAAUAAUUUGUGGAAACUAUUUUUUAGUUUAAAUUUAAGAAAAUGGAGCGUAUUAAAAUAACGGUUGUGUUGAUUCUAUGGGUACCGAUGCGGAUGUGGUUUAUUCCAAGAUUACAAGUGGAAGGUAUAGUUGAUAAGGAAUGUUACGACAACUGUAACUGUUGUAAGAAUAAUAGUUGUCAUUCGCAAUAUGGGUGGCCUAAUGUCUGCACUGAGGGAUGCAUCGACCGUCACAGGGGUGCAAGAUGUUAUGGACUUUGUACCUACCAUUGUGUAUCGUGUGAAAAGGACGAUAAUGUAUGUUCUAGAUGUUUCGAGGGUUAUUUUCCUGGACCAAAUAAAGAUUGUACAUCGGAAUGUCCCACUAACUGUAAAGCAUGUACUUCUGACACAAAUUGCACUGCUUGUAAGGACGGUUAUUAUGACAAAGAUUGGUCGACAACAUGUAUGUACUCUAUUUGUCCAGAGAACUGUGAGUGCAUUGGUAGCACAUGUGCAACUUGUAAAAACGGUUUCUAUGACACAGACAAUGAAUGUAAUAAAGAAUGUCCGCCUGGCUUUCAUGGGCUGGAUUGCAGUGAAACAUGUUCUAUUCAGUGCUUGAACAGAACAUGUGGUAUCGGUAAUGGUGUCUGUGAUUAUGGCUGCGUAGAUGAAUAUUCUGGCGAUAAAUGUUGUUUGCGCAACGGCAACUGUAUAAAAUGCGCUUCCAACACUGAAUGCAAAGAAUGCAAACCUGGUUAUUUCAGUUAUACAUGCAAGGAAACAUGUCCUGUUAACUGCAUCGAGUCAUGUGACAUCAUAUCAGGUGCUUGCAGUGUCUGCAAAAUAAACCGUUUCGGACCUUUAUGCAACUUUACAUGCUCUGAAAGUUGCAAAGUUCCACCUAACAGCAAAACAAGACGGUGUGCGUCAUUCGACGGAACGUGUAUAUUUGGCUGUGAAGAUGGUUUCUUCGGUACAACAUGUAAUAAGACAUGUAACAGACUUUGUAUUGACAAUGUAUGUAUGCGGGAAAGUGGUCUAUGUGUAAAUGGGUGUACAGACUCAUACGACGAAGUGGAAUGUGCACUCAAUGAGGAUACACUGGGUACUGAAGUACAUGUGGCUUUGUUCAGGAUUCUUAGUGGAAGGUGCUGUAUGGGAUCCAAACUGUAUCGACAAUUGUAAUUGUUGUCGGGAUAGCAUAUGUCAUAAUUACCAAUACUUUUGGAACGGUUGCCCACACGGUUGCAUUGAUGGACACAGAGGUGCUAGAUGUUAUGAACUUUGCGAACAUAAUUGUACAUAGUGCGACACCAGUGUUACAAUUUGUGAUAAAUGCUAUGAUGGCUUUCACCUUGGGCCAAAUAAAGAUUGUACAUCAGAAUGUCCCACAAACUGUAGAGCUUGUAUUUCGAACACAAUGUGUACUGCUUGUAAGGACGGUUAUUAUGACAAAGAUGGGUCGACAACAUGUCCGCACGCUCUUUGUCCAGAGAACUGUAACUGCAUUGGUUACACAUGUUCAACUUGUAAAAAAGGUUUCUAUGGCACAGGCAAUGAGUGUAGUAAAGAAUGUCCGGCUAACUGCAAGUCCUGUGCAUCUCAGGAAAUAUGCAACGUGUGUAAAAAUGGAUUUUAUAAUGGGUAUGAUUUGACAAUAAUAUUAAAAAGCUAUUCAAUAAUUGCACAUUUAGAUGUAGAGAAAGCUGCACAGAAUGUUUAUCAUACGACAACUGCUUGCAAUGUGUUAAAGGAAAAUAUAGCCCGAAAUGUCACAAAUAUUGCUCAGUCGGUUGCAAAGAUCAGACAUGCUAUAUUGAAUCUGGAAAAUGUUCCUGCUUAUCAAAUUUUAAUGGUGACAAAUGUACGGAUUGUAUUACUGGCAAAUAUGGAACCUAUUGUAACGAGACAUGUCCCGCACAAUGCAAAAAUGGUAAGUGUAACAAGACUUCGGGAUAUUGUAGCGAAGGUUGCAUCACUGAUACAAUAACAGGGGAAACUUGUAAUGUUUGUGCACUCGGGAUGCACGGAAUAGUUUGUAACAAAACUUGUCCUUUAAAUUGCAAAGGUAAAACGUGUAACCGAAAAUCUGGAUUCUGUUCUUGGGGAUGUGAAGACAACUUUGAAGGUCCAUUUUGUGACACCUGUAUACAAGGAAAGUAUGGUUCAUCAUGUAAACAAAAUUGUUCAUUGAAAUGUACAAAUGCUUUAUGUGAAAACGAGACUGGAAAUUGUUUUAGCUGUACCGCCAAUUUUGAUGGGGACAGGUGUAACACGUGUAAAAACGGAUUUUAUGGGCUUAAUUGCAUUAGUUUAUGUCCUUCUCAAUGUUUUAACAAAUCAUGCGAUAUUAAAAGCGGAAAAUGUGAUUUUGGCUGCACAAUUAAUUAUUCCGGUGAUAAAUGUUGCGUAAAGAGCGACAAGUGCAUAGAAUGCUUCUCGGGCACGGAAUGCCAAAAAUGUAAAUCUGGGUACUUCAGUAAAUUGUGCGAGAAAACGUGCUCUGCUAACUGUCUAGAUUCAUGUGAUAUCUCAACAGGCGUUUGCAGCGAUUGCAUAAUAAACCAUUUUGGACCCUUCUGCAACUUGAAAUGUUCUGAAAAUUGCAAUGUUUCACGAAGCAGUGCCACACGUGACUGUGCGUCAUCUGACGGAAUAUGUAUGUUUGGUUGUAAACAAGGUUUCUUUGGGCUUAAAUGUAAUGAGACAUGUAGCAGUCUUUGCAUCGACACCCUGUGUAGGCAAGAGAGUGGUAUUUGCGUAAAAGGUUGCACAGGAGCAAAUGACGACCCGAUUUGUGUACUGAGUUUAGGGAAACCACAAGAUGUUUCCGACAAGAAAUCAACAACUGCAUAUGUUGUUUUUGCAACACUCUUUGCGGUUACUUCUACGGCAUUAUUUGUUCUUAUUUUGAAGAAAAUGAUAAAGAAAACACGUUUCUC